ensembl:lncRNA
AUGACACUGCUUUACUUGGAGGAUGCAUUCAGAUUCAUUUUCUGUGUGGCACUAUUCAUUUUGGAAUUCUUAUUUGAUUCCAUAUACACUGACCCCAUCCUUAUACUGCAAGGCACUGUUAAAAUAGCCUGCAUACUCAAUAAAUGGCUUCUGUACAACAGCUUAUUAGAAAAAAAACACCCUGAUUCAACAAACACAAAAUUACAUCUUCAUAAAUGCAAUCAGAAGAAAACAACAGAGGAAACAGAGAAGAAUCACAGGAACUGUACAUGCUGCUCGUUGAAGGAGGUGAAACAGAGCUGCCUAGGUGAAAACCAGGAGUCCUAUCCACUAUGCCACCGCGAAGCAGAACAGCUGCAUCUGGAGCUUGGACUCUUGGCCUUCCUAACCCGGAAGAAUGGAGGAUGGGGCCACGGUUUUGCGGUGAGUAUUACAGCUCAACUAGAACUCGUGGACCCAAAGAGUGCGCGAUAGCGUGAUUUAUUAGGCAGAGUGAAAGGGCAGCUCCCACACCACCGUGGGAGGGGAUCCGGAGAGGGUGCUGUCCAGGCUGGGAGAGCUAGAACUUUUACCCCUGAAUUACUCCUUCCCAUUCCUGCUCUCAUCCAAUGAGAGAGGUUCUUUCAAACUUCUUUUGGAUUAAUUGAUCUUUGAAUCCUUUGCCAGAUUGGCUAUUGCUUUCAACCCUUAGUCACAGAGCCCCCACCUCCAAGAGCCAGAGACAAAGCCCCUACCUAGCCUGCCAGAGGUGGGAAAGUGAAAACAAAGGGCCCUAGCUGCCCAGGGAAUUCCCUGUAACACAGUCUGUCACUACUACUGGAUAUAUACCUGAAGGAAAUGAAUUCAAUAUUUUAAAAGAUAUCUCCACUCUUACGUUAAUUAUAGCAUUAUUAACAAUAGCUAAGAUACGGAAUCAACAUAAGUGUCCACUGAUGGAUGAAUGAAGAAAGAAAAUGUGGUAUAUAUCCACAAUACAAUAUUAUUCAACCUAAAACAAAAUGAAAUCUUGUCAUUUGCCACAGCAUGGAUGAACCUGGCAGAUACUGUUAAGUGAAAUAAGCCAGGCGUAAAAAGACAAAUAUUGUACCAUCUUACUUAUAUGUGGAAUUGAAAAAAGUUGAAUUCAUAGAUGUAGACUGUAGAAUGGUGGUUAUUAGGGGCUGAUGGGCAGGGGUUGCAGAGCUGGGCUUGAGAAAAUGCUGGUCAAAAUACAAAAUUUCAGUCGGGUAGGAGGAAUAUAUUCAAGAGAUCUAUUGUAUAAUUCAUAGCAAUAUACUGUAUUCUUUAAAAAUGCUAAGGAAGUAGAUUUAAGUGUUCUAACAAAACUGCUAAAUAAUAAUGUAUAUAUUAAUUAGCUUGAUUUAGCCAUUUCAUAAUCUAUAUAUAUUUCAAACAUCGUUGUAUGUGAUAAAUAAAUGCAGUUUUGUCACCUGAAGAUUUAAGUAAAUUUAAAAAAUUAACUGAAACAUCAAAAUACUUCAAAAUAAGCCUAAUAACAUAAAUAUAAGUUUCUGACAUGAACGAGAAAAAUAUAGUAAAAUAGCAAACUUAUUAAAAACAUUGUGGAAAAUAUAAGAACUUGGCUUUGAUGAGCCGAAAGGAAGAAAAUGAUGUUGACUUGUUUUGUAAUUUAUAUUUGAAUUACUUAGAAAAUUGUUAUUUUAAUCACUACACUACAGAAACACCUACCAAAAAAUUGUUAUUUUAAUAGAAACAAUAACAUAAUAACAAGUUUCUGUUUAUUGUAUGUAUUAACUGUCACUCUACUAAAUGCUUUACAAAAUGGUCUCUGAUACAGAGUGAAGUUUAAUUUUUCAACUAUAAUAUCAUAGCCAAAAAUACCUAUCAUUAAAAAAGACUCCAUUUUAAUUUUGGAAUUAUAUUUGCCAUUUAAAAUACAUUUUAAUAGCCCUGUAACACAUGGGACAAUUUCUAAUUUCUUGAGAAAUUAUACCCAAACUUCUGCAGAUAAUCUAGAAUGUUCUAAUUGUUUAGAAAACUUCCAUCUAACGAUUGUCUUUAUUUUUAAAUGUAUAUAAUCCAAGUUUUUACAAGAUACUAAUAUACUUUCUUCAAUAUCAAAUAUUGUAGAAUGGAAACCAUUACCUCAGCGCCUCACUCAAAAGAGAAUUCCUAUAAAUCAAUGCAGUCAAUUGACUUGGAGAAAAGCAGUUGAUUUAAAAUCUAUGCAAAUGAGAUGCUACGUAUUGACUUUGAAUACAAAGGUGAUGGAAGGCUGAGGUUGAAUUAGGUGUUAUUUUAGGAUAAUAUCAGUGUUUCUAGCACUUUUUAUUAUGUUUGCAAAUACAUGUUAUAUAACAAGUGCUAAUCUUCAUGGAUGGGGAGGUUCUUGAAAAUUUUCUUGUAUUGACUAUGUGGAAAUAAUCUCAUUUUUUAAAAAAAGACUAUUGAUUCAAUCAAAAGUUAAAGCUGAUCCAUCCUGAAAUUUCUUACAUUCUAUCACUGUGACAGGACCAUUUUUAAACUGGGCUCAGACUCAGAUGAAAUAUGAUCACUGCCAGCUGCAUCAAGUGGCAAAGUCUGAGUAAAAAUAAGUUAUUUGACCAGAACAGCAGAACAAAGCUGAAAAUCUUCUGACACCUGAUCCCUUCAGCAGCUGUGGAAAUCUAUUGAAAGGGCUCUCCUUCUAAUGCAUUUGUCAGAAUGCUAAUUGGAAAAAUGACUUCAUGUUAUGAGUCAUACAGUCACCUCUAUGGACCUCAUUAGACUUAAAUGAGCACACUCAAGUCCAGUGCAAUCAUUCAGUUCAGCCAUAUGUUGGUAAAGAAGAUCUCUCAGUAGUUGGGCUCCUGGCCAACUGUGAACAUUAAGUGAAAAAACGGGGAGAAAAUUGAAUGGAGAUGUUUAUGGCAGAUGUAGAUAUAAGCCAUUGUACUUUCCUGAGUAAUCCAAAAUAUGUGUUUGGAACUAUAAGAAAUUCAACCAAGUUAAGCCAAAAAAUUAGACCAAAUUUUAUGGCACACCUAAAAUGUGCUCUGAUGCAGAAGGAAAUACAAAAUUAACUAAGACAAGGACUUAGGGUCUCACAAUUUAGAAGGGCAGAUAACCACAUACAAAAGUACAUUUAAUAAAAGGAAAGCUAUGAAAAAUGUUUAACAAUAAUGUGCCACUUAAGUUUCUAGAGGUAAGUGUGGAAGGAAGUAGGGAAUCCAUUAUGAUUGUUAUCAGGUGUGGAGGAGUAGAGGCUGGAGGAAUGAGGAAACUUCCUAGAGCAGACAAAAUUUGACCCAGGACUGCAAGGAUGGAGACAAAAUCAAAUCACACGUGGGCAUUGGUAGAGAAGAAGGAAGCAAAUGGGAAGGCUUUUGCAGUAGCAGAUAAUGCCAGGGAAAACAGCAUUGGCAGGGAACAGAUGAUAGACAAUUGUGACUAUCCUAGAAAGUACAGGUUCAAAGCAGCUUUGUUGCUGAUAAGACAAUAAUGGCAGAAAAGUUUUUAAAUGUCAGCCUAAGAAACCACUACAAUAAAGCUAGGUAAUUGCAAAAGACUUAACCGAUGGUUUUAAGUGAAUAUCAUUUGUCUCUAAACGUAUAGAGAAUAACAUAGUUAGUUUUUCUAUGGGUAAAAGAAUGCCUACAAUCUCUCCAUAGGCAUGCAUAUAUGGAAUGCAAAAUGUACCACAUCCUCAAAUCAGUUAAACACAUUUUAGACUUUGCUACAAAGAAGGAGAUUGGUUUAUCUAAAUUUUUUUAAUUUAAUUUUUGUGGGUACAUAGUAGGUGUAUAUACUUAUGGGUUACACGAGCUAUUUUGAUACAGGCAUGUUUAAUAAUCACAUUAGGGUAAAUGGGGAUAUUCCGGACCUCAAAUAUUUAUCCUUUGUGUUACCAACAAUCCAGUUAUACUCUUUUAGUUGUUUUUAAAUGUACAAUUACAUUGUUUCUGAAUAUAGUCACCCUGUUGUGCUAGCAAAUACUAGGUCAUAUCCAUUCUUUCUAUAUUUUUCACUCAUUAACGGUCCCCAUCUUCUUCCCUACCUGCCUCACAGCCUCUGGCAAACAUCUUCCUACUCUCUGUCUCCAUGUGUUUGUUUUAAGUUUAGCACCCACAAAUAAGAACAUGCAAAAUUUGUCUUUUUGUGCCUUACUUAACAUAAUGACCUCCAAUUCCAUCCAUAUUGUUCCAAAUUAUGAUUUUCUUUCCAUGGCUGAGUAGUACUGUAUUGGGUAUAAGUACCACAUUUUCUUUAUCCAUUCUUCUGUUGAUGGACACGUAGUUUCACUUCAAAUCUUGGCUAUUUUGAAUAGUGCUGCGAUAUAUAUAAGAGUGCAGAUAUCUCUUUAAUAUACUGAUUUUGAUUGUAAUCCCAGCACUUUGGGAGGCAGAGGCAGCGGGUGGAUCACUUGAGGUCAGGAGUUUGAGACCAGCCUGGGCAACAUGGUGAAACCCCAUCUCUACUAAAAAUUCAAAAUUAGCCAGGUGUGGUGGUACAUGCCUGUGAUCCUAGCUACUUGGGAGGCUGAGGCAAGAGAAUCACUUGAACCUGGGAGGUAGAGGUUGCAGUGAGCCAAGAUUGCGCCAUUGCACUCCAGCCUGGGUAAUAAGAGCGGAACUCCAUCUCAAAAAAAAAAGAAUACACACACACACAUAUAUAUUUGUUUUCUUUUGGGUAUAUUUUCAGCAAUGGGUCUGCUGGAUCAUAUGGUAGUUCUAUUCUUAGUUUUUUGAGGAACUUCUAAAUUGCUCUCCAUAGUUAUACUAAUUUAUAUUCCCACCAACAGUGUACAAGGGUUCCCUUUUCUCCACAUCCUCCUCAAGAUUUGUUAUUGCCUGUCUUUUGGAUAGAUAUUUUACAUGGCAUAAUACGAGAUUUCACUGCAGUUGUGAUUUGCAUCUCUCUGAUGACCAACAAUGUUGUAUACUUUAUCAUAUACUUGUUUGCCAUUUGUAUGUCUUCUUUUGAGAAAUGUCUAUUCAGAUCUUUUGCCCAUUUACUAAUUGGAUUAUUAGAUUUAUUUUCCUAUAGAGUUAUUUAAACUCCUUAUAUAUUCUAUU